ensembl:ncRNA K03C7.14 ncRNA
AAAAGCACAGAUGCUCACGGAAGAAUACGUGAUCGGGAUCGGAAUGUUGCAAGCACACGGGCGCCGCGCGGGUGGCGCCCGGGAGGAGGCGGCAAAUACAUGAGGUAGCUGCAGAGUGCGCGGCAGAUGGGACGACCAGUUUUCUUGAAAAAAAUAAUAAACAUUUCGAAACACAGAACCCGGUUUUUUCGGGGGCACUCACUCACUCACUUCUUGCCGUGUGUGUGUUUCUGCUGCUUUCUACGCGCCCCGCGCCCUCGCCUCCCCUCUUUCCGCGCAGCAACUUCCACGCGGACGACGGAAACUGUGUGCCCUCACAUCCAUCGUCGCCGCUCAGG